UGCCGGCUCACUCUGUAGAAUGCUCUAGCACUGCGUUCACUGGCCCUUGUCCGUUUUGUAACGGGACAUUAGUCGUCAAGUUUGUCCAAUAAGAUGUAAUAUACACGUGGGACAACUAUUUUGUGGUUCGAUAUCUUGCAAUUCUCCUGACAUUUCUUAACAGUUUCAUCAUAGAAUUUUAUGAUAUUCUCAUUCAGUAGUCUUAGAUAUGAAAUAGCUGGGAAAAAUAAAUUCCAAAAACUAUCCUGGCAUUCUUUGUUAAGGAACAUAACACUUGUCGCUUUGUGUUCCACAGCAAUUGGACAGAAUGUGCCAUAUUUACUUCAGCAUAGUUUGAAGUAUAUAGGAUUGUGAAAACUAUUCUACUGGAGGAACGUUAACUUGUAUAUGGUUGGACAGCAGAAAUACAGUAAACGUUCCGGAACAUGAAAUUGAAAUCUGAGAAAAAUUCGCAAAUCUAAGGUACAUCACGAGGCAAAAGGCAAUGCUACGUUUUGGCUUAAUUGAAUGACUAAAACUACUGUUCUGUGAGCUGUAAAUAAAUCAAUUUGUUAAAAAAUACUACUUGGACGAUUUUGAAGAGACGUUGACUGCAGAGAAAAAAACUAAUCGCGCACUAAUUUCAGAACGAAUUAAAUUACUUCUUCGUUGCAAACUGAGAGCUCUGCGUGAAAACAAGAUUCCUUAUUUUGAUGGAUAUAUGUGCUUAAAGAAAGCUUUCUUCCGGGGAACGACGCAUUUUCUCUCUAACUUCCUGUUCUGCCAAAUUUUCAAUGCAUGCUGCUUCAAACAUAAAUCAGAAUUAUAUAGGUACUAAUGUAGUUUAAAGAACAGCUCUUCUUGCUCCAGUUUGUUUGUUUCGGCUAACAAAUAUGUGUCACCCAAAAUAAAAAGGAAUAUUUAGUAGUGCCAUGACUGCAACUAACUUCUUUAUGCUUCAACAUCAUGUCUUUAACAUUUCCAAAUUAUUACAUAUAAGUCCAGAUGUGUGUGUAUAUGUAAGGUAAAGAAAUUGCUUAAAAUAAUCUAAUUUUAGUUUGCAUUAGCUUCUUAAGUCUGA